GUCUCUUCGGAGACAUCUGAUAAAAUUGAAAUGAUACAGAGAAUAUUAGUAUGACCCCUCACAAGGAUGACACAUAUAAAUCGAAAAACAGCCCAAAUUUUU